AGGUCAUGUUAUAGAUUGCAUUACUCUUGUAUUUUAGUUUAAAAAUUUGGUCUGUACACCUUUAAAGGGACACUCCAGACACCCAAACAACUUAAGUGCAUUUGAUAUGUUUUGGCCUCAUUCAUAUCAUAUCAUUUACUUUUUCUCUGAAACUGCUAUGUUUAUGAAAAAAUGGGUUAACCAUAGCUGGACCUGGCACCCAGACCACUUCAUAAAGCUGAAGUGGUCUCGGAGCCUAGAGUGGUCCUUUAAGGGGUUAAAGGGAU